GUUUGAUCAUGGCUGAGGAUGAACGCUGGCGGCGUGCUUAACACAUGCAAGUCGAACGAUGAUCUCCAGCUUGCUGGGGGGAUUAGUGGCGAACGGGUGAGUAACACGUGAGUAACCUGCCCUUGACUCUGGGAUAAGCCUGGGAAACUGGGUCUAAUACCGGAUAUGACCAUCUGGCGCAUGUCAUGGUGGUGGAAAGCUUUUUUGUGGUUUUGGAUGGACUCGCGGCCUAUCAGCUUGUUGGUGGGGUAAUGGCCUACCAAGGCGACGACGGGUAGCCGGCCUGAGAGGGUGACCGGCCACACUGGGACUGAGACACGGCCCAGACUCCUACGGGAGGCAGCAGUGGGGAAUAUUGCACAAUGGGCGCAAGCCUGAUGCAGCGACGCCGCGUGAGGGAUGACGGCCUUCGGGUUGUAAACCUCUUUCAGUAGGGAAGAAGCGUAAGUGACGGUACCUGCAGAAGAAGCGCCGGCUAACUACGUGCCAGCAGCCGCGGUAAUACGUAGGGCGCAAGCGUUAUCCGGAAUUAUUGGGCGUAAAGAGCUCGUAGGCGGUUUGUCGCGUCUGCUGUGAAAGACCGGGGCUCAACUCCGGUUCUGCAGUGGGUACGGGCAGACUAGAGUGCAGU
rnacentral:rRNA from 1 species